UGAUCGCAAGGUCAUAAGGGUGGAAAGUGUUGGGAAUCAAGUGAUGAGAUGGAGGAGUAUAAAGCCUUACCUCUCUCAGAAAUGACUCAUUUUUCAUUUCUCGACUCUCUCUCUAAAAUAUUUCUCUAUGAACCUCUCUCCCUCUAAACCUCUCUUCUCUCUUUUCUUCUCCCUCCGGCCUCCAUCUCUCUUUCACCCACCACUUACCGGACCACCACGUUCAUCAUGUUCAUCAUGAACGUGAUAAACAUCAACCCAGAAACCUCAACCCAACCCAGGAACUGUCGUCCCCCACCCGGGACCGUUGUGAAACCCAGACUUACGUUUGAAGCUCAACCGGAGUCUCCAACCGAUGUUCAUCUUGGUUAUGAACACCAAUCCUAAACCAAGAACCUUAACCUUGACUUUAUGAACCCUAACCCAAAACACUUUGCCGAGAUGAACCCUAACCCCUUCGUGAUGAACCCUACCUUUGAAGAAAACGAACCUUCAUCUUCUUCCUUCGUCUGAACCUUAACCUAACCCAUAUCUAACCUUAACCUACUCAGAAUCAACUCAAGCCUUCAUUAAAUGAUAGAUUCAAACCCCCAAACACCAAUCAGACAUCAAACAAUCAAUAUUAUCCAAACAUACCACAAACCAAAAAUCAAAUUAUCCAGACCCUAAUCCCUAAAUUUUAACUCCAAUCGCAUACAACAACAGGAACAUCACAUAAUCAAAUAAAGUGGGUAAUUCAUCGCAGUUCUACUCACCUACGGAGAUGAGAAUUUCUCCGAUAAAAAGUAAAAGAGGCUGAGCUUUGAAGAAUUAGGAUUUUAAUGUACAACCCUAACCUUAAUUGGAUUAAAGCUUUGGUGAGGGUUCUGGGUGCUGCAACAAUGGAUUCUGGGGGUUUUCUUUUUCGUUCCCUAUUAUGUUUAAUCCUUAUGUUUAUAUAGAUUAAAAUUAGGUUUAGGAUUUAAUUUUGAUUGUAUCUUUUCGGAAAUUUGUAAUUUGAUUAUGAUUGUGAUUUUAUUUUAUUUUUUGACUCUGUUUAGAAAUAGAAUCAUGGUUUGUAAUUUCAAUGUACUUAGUAUGGUUUUGAUGUGUAUUUCGUGAUUUUGAAUGUAAAUAGAAAGUUUUGAUUAAAAAAUGAAAAUUGCUGGUUUCGAUUUUGUUUCA